rnacentral:rRNA from 1 species
UGCAGUCGAACGCGUCUCCGUUAAUGAUUUUAGGUGCUUGCACUUGAAAGAUUUAACAUUGAGACGAGUGGCGAACUGGUGAGUAACACGUGGGUAACCUGCCCUUGAAGUAGGGGAUAACACUUGGAAACAGGUGCUAAUACCGUAUAACAACCAAAACCACCUGGUUUUGGUUUAAAAGACGGCUUCGGCUGUCACUUUAGGAUGGACCCGCGGCGUAUUAGCUUGUUGGUAAGGUAACGGCCUACCAAGGCGAUGAUACGUAGCCGACCUGAGAGGGUAAUCGGCCACAUUGGGACUGAGACACGGCCCAAACUCCUACGGGAGGCAGCAGUAGGGAAUCUUCCACAAUGGACGAAAGUCUGAUGGAGCAACGCCGCGUGAGUGAUGAAGGGUUUCGGCUCGUAAAACUCUGUUGUUGGAGAAGAACAGGUGUCAGAGUAACUGUUGACAUCUUGACGGUAUCCAACCAGAAAGCCACGGCUAACUACGUGCCAGCAGCCGCGGUAAUACGUAGGUGGCAAGCGUUGUCCGGAUUUAUUGGGCGUAAAGCGAGCGCAGGCGGUUUUUUAGGUCUGAUGUGAAAGCCUUCGGCUUAACCGGAGAAGUGCAUCGGAAACCGGGAGACUUGAGUGCAGAAGAGGACAGUGGAACUCCAUGUGUAGCGGUGAAAUGCGUAGAUAUAUGGAAGAACACCAGUGGCGAAGGCGGCUGUCUGGUCUGUAACUGACGCUGAGGCUCGAAAGCAUGGGUAGCGAACAGGAUUAGAUACCCUGGUAGUCCAUGCCGUANACGAUGAGUGCUAAGUGUUGGAGGGUUUCCGCCCUUCAGUGCUGCAGCUAACGCAUUAAGCACUCCGCCUGGGGAGUACGACCGCAAGGUUGAAAC